rnacentral:rRNA from 1 species
UACGGGGGGAGCAAGCGUUGUUCGGAUUUACUGGGCGUAAAGGGCGCGUAGGCGGUCGUGACAAGUCACUUGUGAAAUCUCCGGGCUUAACUCGGAACGGUCAAGUGAUACUAUCGGACUAGAGUACAGAAGGGGCAACUGGAAUUCUCGGUGUAGCGGUGAAAUGCGUAGAUAUCGAGAGGAACACCUGCGGCGAAGGCGGGUUGCUGGGCUGAUACUGACGCUGAGGCGCGAAAGCCAGGGGAGCGAACGGG